rnacentral:misc_RNA from 1 species
UUAAGUUCAGCGGGUAUCCCUACCUGAUCCGAGGUCAACCAUAGAAGUUUGGGGUUGCUGGCCAGCCACCGCGGGACCCUGGAGCGAGAGAUGUACUACGCUCAGAGCCCGACGGCGCCGCCACUGUCUUUAGGGCCGGCCGCCACGGGCAGGGCCCAACACCAAGCGGAGCUUGAGGGUUGAAAUGACGCUCGAACAGG